rnacentral:rRNA from 1 species
GAUUGUUAUAUAAAGUCUAGCCUGCCCACUGAUUUGUUUUAAAGGGCCGCGGUAUAUUGACCGUGCGAAGGUAGCAUAAUCAUUAGUCUUUUAAUUGGAGGCUUGUAUGAAUGGUUGGACAAAAAGUAAGCUGUCUCGGUUAUAAUAAUUGAACUUAACUUUUAAGUGAAAAGGCUUAAAUGUUUCAGGGGGACGAUAAGACCCUAUAAAGCUUGACAAUAAUUUCGUUAUAUUAUAAAUUGUUAGUAUAACUUGAUUUUAACGGGAGUUUGUUUCGUUGGGGCGACGGGAAUAUAAUAAAUAACUGUUCUUUUAAAUACAAUUACAAAAAUACUUGGUAAAUAAUUGAUCCUCUAUUAGAGAUUAAAAGAUUAAGUUACUUUAGGGAUAACAGCGUAAUCUUCUUUGAGAGUCCACAUCGACAAGAAGGUUUGCGACCUCGAUGUUGAAUUAAGGUAUCCUUAUAAUGCAGCAGUUAUAAAGGAGGGUCUGUUCGACCUUUA